rnacentral:rRNA from 1 species
UACAGAGGGUGCAAGCGUUGUUCGGAAUUAUUGGGCGUAAAGGGCGCGUAGGCGGGUGCUCAAGUCCGUGGUGAAAUCCUCCGGCUCAACCGGAGAACUGCCUCGGAUACUGGGUGCCUCGAGGGUGGUAGGGGUAUGCGGAACUAUCGGUGGAGCGGUGAAAUGCGUUGAUAUCGAUAGGAACUCCGGUGGCGAAGGCGGCAUACUGGACCACCUCUGACGCUGAGGCGCGAAAGCCAGGGGAGCAAACGGG